UACAGCCAUAUCACGUUGAAAUAUCGGUUUUCGUACGAUCACCGAAGUUAAGAAACAUCGAAGUUGGUCAGUACUUAGAUGGGUAACCGCUUAGGAAUACUAGGUACUGUAA